ACCUUCUCUCAGGCAGUGUUCAUGGAAUAGACUGCUGCUGGCCUUCCUGGUGUGACAGAGCUCUGGGAGAUACUGGGAUUUCUGAGGUUGGACCUUGAACAUGGGGAGUGUCAACUGUCCUCAUGAAAGGCCUUGUUCUCCUUUAGGUUGCCAGGAUUUUGUGGACGAAGUCAGAGCUCCAGGAGAAGAUGGCAGCAGAGUAGGAGGACCCUAGGCUUGUCUCAUUCCACAAACACAACUAGAUCAAAUCAUCCUAAAUACCCAAGAAAUUGACCUGAAGACUGACAGAACAAAUUCUACAAUUAAAGGGGGGAGAGGAGACCAUAUAGAAGAAGGCAAAGACUUAGACAAAGUGCCAAGAUGGAGGAAUCCAUCCCAAAUGAAAGAACAAGAUAAGGACAUGGCCAGAGAUCUAGGUGAAACAGAUAUAAGUAACGUGGUUCAUGGAUAAUUUAAAGCAACAAUCAUAAGGAUACUCACUGGGCUUGAGAAAAGAAUGGAAGACAUCAGUGAGACCCUUACCACAGAGAUGAGUUAAAAAAAAUCAGAAAUGAAGAAUGCAGUGAAUGAGACUGGAGAUGCAAUGAACAGCAGUCUGGAAGAAGAAUGAAUAGGUGAUAUAGAAGAAAAAAUAACGAAAAAUGAUGAAGCUGAACAAGAGAGAAUUAUGCAACAUGAGAAUAGACUUAGGAAAUUCAGUGACUCCAUCAAACAAAUAUAAUAACAUUCAUAUUCUAGGAGUCCCAGAAGAAGAGUGAGAAAAGGGGCCAGAAAAUGUACUUGAAGAAAUAAUAGCUAAAAACUUUUCUAAUUUGGGGAAGGAAACAGAUAUCCAGAUCCAGAAGGCACAGAGAACUCCCAUCAAAAUCAACAAAAGCAACCCACAUUAAGGCAUAUUUGUAAAACAAAGUGAUUAAAAAAUCUUAAAAGCAGCAAGACAAAAGAAGUUCUUAACAAGAGAAAACCCCAUAAGGCUAACUGCAGAUUUCUCAACAGAAACUUGGCAGGGAAUGGCAUGACAUAUUCAAAGUGCUGAAUAGGAAAAUACAGUAGCCAAGAACACUCUACCUAGAAAGGCCUACUCAUUCAGAAUAGAGAGUGUGUCCCAAAUAAAAACUAAAGGAGUUUGUGACCACUAAACUAGCCCUACAAGAAAUAUUAAUGAUGACUACAUGAGUGGGGGGAAAAAGAGACCAAAAGUGACCAAGACAAAGGAUCAGAGAAAAUCUGUAGAGACCACAACAAGUAAUAAAAUGGCAAUAAAUAAAUAUCAAUUAUUUUGAAUGUAAAUGGACUAAGGGCUCCAAUAAAAAAAAAAGGGUGUCAAUGGGUAAGAAAAAAAGACCCAUCUAUAUAUUGCCUACAAGAGACUCAUGUUAGACAUAAAGACACCUGCAGAUUGAGGAAGUUGAGAAACAAUUAUCAUGCAAACGAAUGUCAAAAGUAAUACUUAACAUCAGACAAACUAGACUUCUUUGUUAUUGUUUUUAUUCUGCUUUGGUAUCAGUGUUAAUACUGGCCUCAUAGAAUGAUUAUGAAUGUUUCCUCUAUUCCAAAUUUGUAAGAUUUUGAUAAAUACUGUCAUUAGUUUUUUUGUUUUUUGAUGUUUGGUGGAAUUCAAUGAAACCAUGUAGUCUUAGAUUUUUUUGUCCUGGGAGAUGUUUGAUUCCUAAUUCAACUUUCAUUCUUGCUACUGAUCUAAGAUGAUUUCCUAUUUUUUGGAUUCAAGAUUCAUGAUUCAAUCUUGGUAACUUGUGCAUUUUUAAGGAAUUAUCUGUUUUUCUGAAGUUAUCUUGGUGUGAUAAGAUUACUAUAAACAGUAUUAUACUAUGUA